AAUGAACGCUGGUGGCAGACCUAACACAUGCAAGUCGAACGGUCUAUAUUAAACUUUCGGUUUUUUAUAGAUAGUGGCAAACGGGUGAGUAAAGCAUGGGAAUCUACCUAGAAGUUUGGAAUAGCUAUUAGAAAUGAUAGAUAAUACCAAAUACACCUCGAGAGGGAAAGUUGACUUCGGUCUUCGCUUUUAGAUGAGCCCAUGUUAAAUUAGUUAGUUGGUAGGGUAAUGGCCUACCAAGAUGAUGAUUUAUAGCUGGUCUUAGAGGAUGAUCAGCCACACUGGAAUUGAGAUACGGUCCAGACUCCUACGGGGAGCAGCAGUGGGAAUAUUGGACAAUGGGCGCAAGCCUGAUGCAGCCAUGCCGCGUGUGUGAAGAAGGCCUUCGGGUUGUAAAGCACUUUCAGUCGUGAGGAAGGUAGUGUAGUUAAUAGCUGCAUUAUUUGACGUUUACGACAGAAGAAGCACCGGCUAACUCCGUGCCAGCCGCC
rnacentral:rRNA from 1 species